rnacentral:rRNA from 1 species
GACGAACGCUGGCGGCGUGCUUAACACAUGCAAGUCGAACGGAAAGGCCCUGCUUUUGUGGGGUGCUCGAGUGGCGAACGGGUGAGUAACACGUGAGUAACCUGCCCUUGACUUUGGGAUAACUUCAGGAAACUGGGGCUAAUACCGGAUAGGAGCUCCUGAUGCAUGGUGGGGGUUGGAAAGUUACGGCGGUUGGGGAUGGACUCGCGGCUUAUCCGCUUGUUGGUGGGGUAGUGGCUUACCAAGGCUUUGACGGGUAGCCGGCCUGAGAGGGUGACCGGCGACAAUGGGCCUGAGAGACGGCCCAGACGCCUACGGGAGGCAGCGGUGGGGAAUAUUGCACAGUGGGCGGAAGCCUGAUGCAGCAACGCCGCGUGCGGGAUGACGGCUUACGGGUUGUAAACCGCUUUCGCAUGUAACGAAGCGGGAGUGACGGUAAUGGGUAAAGAAGCACCGGCUAACUACGUG